rnacentral:rRNA from 1 species
AAUGAACGCUGGCGGCGUGCUUAACACAUGCAAGUCGAACGAGAAAGCAUCUUCGGAUGUGAGUAGAGUGGCGCACGGGUGAGUAACACGUGGGUAACCUGCCCCUUGAUGGAGGAUAACCAGGAGAAAUCCUGGCUAAUACUGCAUAAGUUGGUAACAAGAAAGGAUGCUUCGGCAUUCGUCGAGGGAUGGGCCCGCGGAACAUUAGCUUGAUGGUGGGGUAAUGGCCUACCAUGGCUACGAUGUUUAACUGGUCUGAGAGGAUGAUCAGUCACACUGGAACUGAGACACGGUCCAG